rfam:Lichtheimia corymbifera JMRC:FST:9682, FST 9682, WGS project CBTN01000000 data, contig: SCAF00074
GCCUGGUUGGCUAAGCUGGUUAUAGCGUCAGUCUCAUAAUCUGAAGGUCAGCGGUUCGAUCCCGCUACCGGGCA